GGUUAUUGAUAAUCGGGAGCACCCACGAUGCCAUUUUGGCUGUGGGCACUAUCAUACUUCGCAGUAGCAUCAGCCAUAGUAGCAUGGAACGACGACUUCAAGGUGGAAGCUCUAAAUGAUUUUUCGACGAAAUUUAAGAUUCUGGUCGACGAGCUGUCCAUGUACAUCCAACCUGUCGGCUUCCCCAUCGAGCUGGUCGCGAGGUUGUGUAUGGGCAAAUUGCAGACAUAAAAUCAUGGGUUGAUCAACACGAGCGAAGGAAUCGGCCUGUUCGCAUAAUUUGAUAAUUGUGAAGAAAGACAUCGAAGAAGGCAAGAAAUUUAAUUAUUCAGGAUUAAAUUAUAUGGGGCUACUUCAUCCGCAU